rfam:Echinostoma caproni strain Egypt genome assembly, scaffold: ECPE_scaffold0009105
GGUCUCGUAGCUCAGCUGGUAGAGUGUGCGCUGUACAAAAACGUACGCGGCGUCCAUGCGUGGGUUUGAAUCCCACCGAGGCUA